rnacentral:rRNA from 1 species
UUGUCUCAAAGAUUAAGCCAUGCAUGUCUAAGUACUAGCCAACUUUUAAAAUGGUGAAACCGCGAAAAGCUCAUUAAAUCGGCUUUGGUUCCUUAGAUAGUUUGCAGAUUGGAGUUUUUUUCGACCUGUCGAAAAAAACAAAAUUCUGAAAUGGAUAACUGUGGUAAUUCUAGAGCUAAUACAUGAAAAAAAUUCGGUGCGAAACUGCGUUUGUUUUUGACAAACGUURGGCUUUGCACGCUUUUAUUAGAGAAAAAAGCCAAUUUUACUAUUGCUCACGUGUGUCUGUUUUAUUGCGAUGAUGGCAUAACAGUUGUUUUUUUGAAUAGCUGUUUUCUAUUAUUGUUUAAACGGCUGCGUGUGAAACCAAUACUAAUAAAAAUUUUGGUGUUGAAUCUGAAUAACUUGAAUGGAUUCUCUUUGAAAGAAUUUUGUUUCGUUUCGGAAUGAAAUUUGAUUAGAAGAGGGUUUAAAGCAGACCGCAUUAAAAGCUGCAAACAAAACGAUGAGAUCGCUCUCGGGCGUUCGAUUCGAUGUUUGUAGUUUAUGUGGCGUAUCUUUCAAUUGUCUGCCUUAUCAACUGUCGAUGGUAGGUUACAUGCCUACCAUGGUUAUAACGGGUAACGGGGAAUCAGGGUUCGAUUCCGGAGAGGGAGCCUUAGAAACAGCUACCACAUCUAAGGAAGGCAGCAGGCACGUAAAUUACCCAAUCCCAGCUCGGGGAGGUAGUGACGAAAAAUAACAAUCCGGAACUCAAACGAGUCUCCGAAAUUGGAAUGAGUACAGUUUAAAAACUUUAACGAGGAGCAAAUGGAGGGCAAGUCUGGUGCCAGCAGCCGCGGUAAUUCCAGCUCCAUUAGCAUAUAUUAAAGUUGUUGCGUUUAAAAAGCUCGUAGUCGAUUUUGUAUCUCGUACUUUCGAAUUCCCGCGAUUUUAUUCGUGUGGUUUUUGUUAUUUAAUUGUACGAGAUAUAUAGACUGGUGGAUGUUUAGAAAUCGUUUGCUUAUAGACGACGGACAUCUGUUCGCGCUAUUCAUCGAUUUCGAUAUUCAAUACGAUGGGUUUAGGAUUUAAUUUCGCAGCAGUGUAAAAUGUUUCAAUUACGUUACUAUUUUCGCUGUUUGUGAAAUGCUUAAAUUCGAUUGUAUUCUAAACUAUGUUGAAAGCGUUGCGGUCAGAGAUGCAAUUUCGUAAAAAGAAUUGCGUUGUCGCGCUCGUUUUCGGCUUGUCGGGCCGGCGAAAUUACUUUGAACAAAUUAGAGUGCUUAAAGCAGGCAAAUUUUAUGCCUUGAAUAUAAACAGCAUGGAAUAAUAGAAUAUGAUCUCGAUACUGUUUGUUUAAUGUUUUUCUUAUCUUCGGAUAGAAAGGCAUUUUUCGUUUGAUGAUAUGCGUAAGCGUAUUGUGAGGCGAAAUGAAAUUGGCUUAAAGUGGCAAAGUUGGGAAAUCUUAAAUGAUUUUCUUUUUGUCCACGACAGUAUAUCGAGAUAAUGAUUAAUAGAAACGGAUGGGGGCAUUCGUACUACGACGUUAGAGGUGAAAUUCUUGGACCGUCGUAAGACGAACUGAAGCGAAAGCGUUUGUCAAAAACGUUUUCAUUGAUCAAGAACGAAAGUUAGAGGUUCGAAGGCGAUCAGAUACCGCCCUAGUUCUAACCAUAAACGAUGCCGACCAGCGAUCCGYCGAUGUUCAUUUAAAUUGACUCCGCGGGCGGCUUYCGGGAAACCAAAGAUUUUGGGUUCCGGGGGAAGUAUGGUUGCAAAGCUGAAACUUAAAGGAAUUGACGGAAGGGUACCACCAGGAGUGGAGCUUGCGGCUUAAUUUGACUCAACACGGGAAACCUCACCAGGUCAGGACACUGAUAGGAUUGACAGAUUGAUAGCUCUUUCUUGAUUCAGUGGGUGGUGGUGCAUGGCCGUUCUUAGUUGGUGGAGCGAUUUGUCUGGUUAAUUCCGAUAACGAACGAGACUCUAACCUGCUAAAUAGACGCUAAACGUUUAUUGCUAAGCGUUAUGGGAACGGGUAUUUGACGGCGAUUGUGUUCGCUGUUUCGGAGAUUGYAGUUUGUGCGUGUGCGCCGAGUGCCUUUCGAACAAAUCGGGGAGAAGUAGUAGUUUUUUGAUUAUUGCUUCUUUUCUGGUGAAAUUCGAAUAGUAGUACAUGGUGUUUACGUAUGAAAAUGUGCAAUUUUCGGAAUUCGAAUUACGGUCGUUUGUUUGGGUAUUCGUUCUUGCUUAGUGAUCGUUUUAUCCGAUAUUUGAAGUCAUUUGUGUUGAUGACGUGGUCGUCGCCGUCAGUGCAUUUCGGCUGUGCAUUCGUGUGCAGUUGUUUGUGUGGUGUCGUCGUCGAUUAGUUGUUGGCACAAUAUUCACUAUCGGCGUAUAAAAAAAUCUCUUCUUAGAGGGACAGGUGGACUUAUAAGCCACACGAGAAGGAGCAAUAACAGGUCUGUGAUGCCCUUAGAUGUUCUGGGCUGCACGCGUGCUACACUGAAAAAAUCAACGUGUUUUUUUUCAAAAAUGUCCUUUACCGAAAGGUACGGGUAAACCGUUGAAAAUUUUUCGUGAUUGGAAUCGGGCAUUGAAAUUAUUGCCCGUGAACGAGGAAUUCCCAGUAAGCGUGAGUCAUUAGCUUGCGCUGAUUACGUCCCUGCCCUUUGUACACACCGCCCGUCGCUACUACCGAUAGAAUGAUUUAGUGAGGUCUUCGGACUGUCACGCGUUUAGCGUUUGGCGCUAUCGUUGUCGAUAGAAAGAUGCCCAAACUUGAUU